GCUUCCUGGCAGGGCAUGAGAGGCUCUCCAGGCCUAGAGAAUCUUAGAUAAAGGCACUGGAACCAGAUCAAAGCCCAUCUUUCAGCUGGCUGCACCCCUGGGCCAGGGAGGCACAAACCUACCUGUACCCCUGCUACAGGCAGGGUGGAUAGACAGAGACCCAUUGUCCCUUCCAUGUCCUUUGUUCCCUCCUAGGGAAUCUGAGCAGUCCUCCGGGAACAUCAGGGUGGCACAUUUGAGCUCCCUCCCUUCUGCUGCCCCACUGCCAGCCAUCAGCUCACUCUGCCCGCAGCUGCUUUUGGAAGGCAGCUGGUUCCUGGGGCCAUUGCCUGGUGGUCCCCAGCAGCCUGCCCAGGGAGGGCUCCCACCCACCUGAGAGUGCUUGGACACCCAGUGGCGGAGCACGUUCAAGACACGAUUGGUGGCUGCUCUGCGGAUCACAAACUCCUUGUCUCCAUUCCUCUGGUCUGGGGGAAACCCUGGCAGCAUGCGUGGCAGAGGGGAGAGAGGACAGGUGAAGAAAUGAAGACAGAGAAGUUGCAUGUCUUGUUCAAG
rnacentral:lncRNA from 10 species